AAAGUUGUAACAAGGUUUCUGUAGGUGAACCUGCGGAAGGAUCAUUAAAAUAAGAAAUGUGCUCCGGUGCGUAACUCCUCUCAGCCCUUCCACCGCAAGGUGGGGUGGCUUGAUUGAGUCCUUUAAACCUUUGUGAACUUUAUAUCUUAUGCUUCGGCAGCAGGCUCCUCCUUGUGGGGCGUUGGUAAGGCUGCCGACAGCCUUUCUUAAACUAUUUUAUUUUAAAUCAUAAAGUCUGAUUAUUAUUAAAUUUAAACAAGUUAAAACUUUCAGCAACGGAUCUUUUGGUUCUC
rnacentral:misc_RNA from 1 species